GACGAACGCUGGCGGCGUGCUUAACACAUGCAAGUCGAACGGAAAGGCCCUGCUUUUGUGGGGUGCUCGAGUGGCGAACGGGUGAGUAACACGUGAGUAACCUGCCCUUGACUUUGGGAUAACUUCAGGAAACUGGGGCUAAUACCGGAUAGGAGCUCCUGCUGCAUGGUGGGGGUUGGAAAGUUUCGGCGGUUGGGGAUGGACUCGCGGCUUAUCAGCUUGUUGGUGGGGUAGUGGCUUACCAAGGCUUUGACGGGUAGCCGGCCUGAGAGGGUGACCGGCCACAUUGGGCCUGGGAUACGGCCCAGACCCCUCCGGGGGGCAGCGGGGGGAAUUUUUGCACAAUGGGCGGAAGCCUGAUGCAGAAACCCCGCGUGCGGGAUGACGGCCUUCGGGUUGUAAACCGCUUUCGCCUGUGACGAAGCGUGAGUGACGGUAAUGGGAAAAGAAGCCCCGGCUACCUACGU
rnacentral:rRNA from 1 species